rnacentral:rRNA from 1 species
CAGCCGCCACGGUAAUACAGAGGGUGCGAGCGUUAAUCGGAUUUACUGGGCGUAAAGCGUGCGUAGGCGGCUUCUUAAGUCGGAUGUGAAAUCCCUGAGCUUAACUUAGGAAUUGCAUUCGAUACUGGGAAGCUAGAGUAUGGGAGAGGAUGGUAGAAUUCCAGGUGUAGCGGUGAAAUGCGUAGAGAUCUGGAGGAAUACCGAUGGCGAAGGCAGCCAUCUGGCCUAAUACUGACGCUGAGGUACGAAAGCAUGGGGAGCAAACAGGAUUGGAUACCCGCGUAGUCCCUGUCUCUUAUAC